rnacentral:snoRNA from 1 species
UUUCCUGAUGACAACCUUUUUCGUAGCUUGAAGGCUUCAUUGCCGAUGUGAGCACAUGAUUUCUCAAUUGUAUUAGACUACAACGGUAUCUGACC